AACCUCAGACGCACGCGCAGUUUGGUUUCUAUGCAGAGCAUGCGCAGUGUCACAUUGGUCAGGACAGUCGGGGGGAGAGAGAGGCGUGGAGCAGCUUUUUCCGGCAUCGACUGCGAUCGGCUUCAGAGAGCGGCGCUCAGAGCCGGUGUGUGGGAGCCUUGCUGGGUGAAAUGAACGGAGAGACUUCAUGGCGGGAUUCAAAUCUGCCUCCCCUGAACAUUAGCUGAGGUUCUCUCGAGCAAUACCAUGACGGCAUAACUUCACCGCUCAAAGGUUGCUCAUCCCUGAGCACUGAUACCAGGGCUUCAUGAAGGUACUCACGAAGGUCCUGACUCAAUAGACUUCCCAACUG